rnacentral:rRNA from 1 species
UUUUGGGGAACUGGGCGUGGUUUAGGCACGCAAACCGAGCGACGAGCCUGCUUCGGCAGGCGGACAGCGGCGAAAGGGACAGUAAUGUGUAGGUACCUACCCCUGGGUUCGGGAUAGCUGCGGGAAACUGCAGGUAAUACCGAAUAAUGUCUCCGGACCAAAGGUGUGAUUCCACCUGGGGAGGGGCCUGCAUCCUAUUAGCUUGUUGGUGGGGUAACGGCCUACCAAGGCAACGAUGGGUAGCGGGUGUGAGAGCAUGACCCGCGUCAUUGGGACUGAGACACUGCCCAGACACCUACGGGUGGCUGCAGUCGAGAAUCUUCGGCAAUGGGCGAAAGCCUGACCGAGCGACGCCGCGUGCGGGAUGAAGGCCUUCGGGUUGUAAACCGCUGUCGUAGAGGAGGAAAUGCAGGGGGGUUCUCCCCUUUGCUUGACCUAUUCUAGGAGGAAGUACGGGCUAAGUUCGUGCCAGCAGCCGCGGUAAGACGAACCGUACGAACGUUACUCGGAAUUACUGGGCUUAAAGGGUGCGUAGGCUGCGCGGUAAGUUGGGUGUGAAAGCCCUCGGCUCAACCGAGGAAUUGCAUCCAAAACUACCGUGCUCGAGGGAGACAGAGGUGAGCGGAAACUCAGGUGGAGCGGUGAAAUGCGUUGAUAUCUUGAGGAACACCGGUGG